GUGCAAAGGUAGCAUAAUCAUUUGGUUUUUAAAUGGAAUCUUGUAUGAAAGGGAAAACGAAUAAAAGCUGUCUUUUUAAUAAAUUUUGAAUUUAAGUUUCUUGUAAAAAUUCAAGAAUAAUAUUAGGGGACGAUAAGACCCUAUAAAGCUUUAUUUUUAAUAUUAAUUAUUACAUUAUUUAUUUAAUAUUAAAAAUUUUACUGGGGCGGUAGCUUAAGAAACUAAGUAUAAAAAUUUAGAUCCACUAAUAGUGAUAAUUUGAUUAAGUUACUUUAGGGAUAACAGCAUAAUUCAUUUAGGGAGUUCAAAUCGAAAAAUGAGAUUAUGACCUCGAUGUUGAAUU
rnacentral:rRNA from 1 species